rnacentral:rRNA from 1 species
UCCCUAAGUAACAGCUAAGUGUUAAAGAACAAAUAGUGUUUAACAGCAUAGACAGCUGGAAGGUUGGCUUAGAGGCAGCCAUCCUUUAAAGAGUUCGUAACAGAUCACCAGUCAAGUUCUUGAGCCUAGAAAAUGGACGGGACUAAGUUGUUCACCGAUACUUUGGGCCACCGAAAGGUGAUGCGGUAGAGAGGCGUCGUGCGCGGGUGGAAGUGGGGCCGUGAGGUCCUGUGGACCGCGUUCGAAUGAUAAUCAUGGAAAUAGUAGUAGCGUAGAUGGGUGAGAAUCCCAUCCGCCGGAGGGGCUAGGGUUCCUCGACGAUGUUCAUCAGUCGAGGGUUAGUCGGUCCUAAGGUUCCCCCUAACAGGAGGAAUCGAAAGGGAAGCAGGUUAAAAUUCCUGCACCAAUUCAUAUUUUGUCCAGUUCCUGACACAUCGGGUCUUGUGGAGCACUCCUGUCUGAGUGUUGCCUUAAGCAAUAAAAUUGUGGAGUACCGUAAUGGUGAGAAGCAAACUAAGCUUUUGGGAGGCGAAGUAUUUCGCUUCUGCGUUAGCCUGGUGUCCGUGAAAAGGGAGCUGGAGCCGUAUGAGUUGUCCGUACCGAGAUCUGACACAGGUGCCCCUAGGUGAGUAGCCUAAGGCGUCGCGGCAGAAUCCGGGCGAGGGAAUUCGGCAAAUUAGCCCCGUACCUUUGGUAUAAGGGGUGCCAGCUCUGAAGAGAGCUGGUCGCAGUGACUAGGGAGCUCCGACUGUUUACUAAAAACACAGGUGGCUGCUAGUCCGUAAGGAUGAGUAUAGCCGCUGAAUCCUGCCCAGUGGUGGUAUCUGAAACCCUGUUUCAACGGGACGAAGGACCACUAAACGGCGGGGGUAACUAUGACCCUCUUAAGGUAGCGUAAUACCUUGUCGCUUAAUUGGCGACUUGCACGAACGGCCUAACGAGAGCUCUACUGUCCCCGCCCGGAGCCCGAUGAAAUUGACUUACUGGCGCACAGUCCAGUACGUCCCAGCCGCAAGCGAAGACCCCGUGGAGCUUUACUGCAACCUGCCGUUGUGGCACGAGUUGUUAUGUGUAGCGUAGACGGGAGACAUUACACAGGUGCGAGCGCUAGCUCGUCGCCGAGUCACCGAUGAAACACCGUCCUUUUCGAUUCGUCCCACUCACCUCUUCGGAGGAACCCCGGUAGGCGGGCAGUUUGGGUGGGGCGCCACUCCCUCGAAAAAAUAACAAGGGAGCCCAAAGGUCAGCUUAGGUAGGUCAGGAAUCUACCGUUAAGUGCAAGGGCAAAAGCUGGCUUGACGUGGUUUGGCAACACAACAAACCACGAUGCGAAAGCAGGGCCUAGCGAACCAACCAGCGCCGUUAGUAGGUGCGGUUGAUAACAGAAAAGUUACCCCGGGGAUAACUGAGUUGUCUGGAGCAAGAGCCCACAUCGACCUCCAGGCUUGCUACUUCGAUGUCGUCUCUUCCUAUCCUGGGUGUGCAGAAGCACCCAAGGGUGGGGUUGUUCGCCCAUUAAAAGGGAUCGUGAGAUGGGUUUAGACCGUCGUGAGACAGGUUUGUUGCUAUGUGCUGGGACUGUCCAAUGCCUGAGGGGAAGGAUCCUCUAGUACGAGAGGAACGAGGGUUCGCAGCCACUAGUUUACCAGUUGUCUGACAAGGCACUGCUGGGCAGCCACGCUGUAAGGGAUAAGAGCUGAAAGCAUCUAAGCUCGAAACCCGCCUCAAAACGAGGCAUUAUGACACUUAUAGAAGAUAAGAUAGAUAGGACCGGGGUGUAAGCACCGAGAAUUACAGUACUGUUUGAAAGCUACUUCGGUAGCUGGACGAU